rnacentral:piRNA from 1 species
UGGAGAAAGAAAGCAAAUGUUGAAGUAAGA